AUGAAGAGAAGAGGAGGGCCAAUGUGCAAAUGUGGCAGAUCAGAGAGGGGAAUGAAAUCCCUAGCCGCACCUCAUUGCAAAUCGGUGCCUGGCAUCUCCAUCCCCUCUUUCCCCCGCCUCCUUCUUCCACCUCCGGCCGCCGCCGCGGCCAGGCCGGCGUGGCGGCGCGCCACCCAGCACCUCCACCUGCUCCACAACCCCGCAGCACCUCCACCCGUGCCAUCGCGCUCCCACCACAUCACCAUCACCACCAGCACCACCGCGCGCCACCACUCUCCUCCCCCUACACCAUCCAUCCAUCGCAGCCGCGCCACCGCGCCAUCACCAGCAUCCACCAUCAUCGAUCCAUCUCCACCUUCACUGCGCCAUCCCUCCACCAUCUCCAGCCACCGCCGUACCUCGCGCGCCCAACCAGACAAAGGGGAGCAUAGGCGUCUGGUCAUCCGCGUGAGGGCGCCCCCAUUUGGGUUGUGCUUGAAACUUGGUUGGAUUGUCUUCAUGGAAAUGGCAUUCAACUCAGACCAUCAUGCUUAUGUGAGCAAUAGCACGGAAAGUGUUCAAGACUUGAUAAAGGCCAUCCUUAUGUUGCUCCUACAUGCCAUAUUUGUGGAUUUCAGGGCCAUUCACCUGCUGAAUGUCAGCGUGGUUACUCUCAUCCUCCGGAUUGUUUUGGGAUUUAGGUAUGAAGAGGAGAGCCACAACUAUGCUCCACAACAGUCUUAUUCAGCUCCUAUUCAUAUACCUAAGCACCAGGAGAUGUUGCCAAUGAAGUUAAAUGGUCCUCCAUUUGGUCAACCAACACCUUCAACACAAGUGCCUACUCAAGAUGAGUUCGAUGACAUAGACAAGCUCGCACUUUUGAGUCUUGAGUUCACUUGGAGUGCCGAGGAUGAUCCUAUUAGGAAGGUUAUACUAGAUGAAAUGAAGAAGAUCAAGAGUGGGAAUGAGCUAGUGGAAGAAGUAAAGAAGAUUGAGAAGAACAUCAACGCUGGCAGUACUAUUUCUUCACAGCUUGAGCUGAGUAAUUCUGGGAUUCCCCUUGAUACAUGUGAGGUUCCAAUACCGUCACAUCCAGCUGAGAAAGAUAGCAAGUGCCUUGAGGAAGAGAUACCUCAGAUUGAAGAUGUACUCGUAGCCAAGGCACAAGAUGAUCCAGAGCUCAAAUGCCCAAGUGAUCAAGUUGAAGAUCCAAUGUCUAUCCCUCCUGAAGAAGUAAAAGAAGCUGCUGUAGAUGAAGAUGAAGAACAUGAGAUUCAUUUGCCUAUUGUCAUACCAGAGCGUGAUGUGUCAGGUUUACCCAAUCCUCUCGAUGACAUGCGUCCUUAUGAUUCCUUUGCUUCUACCUUGCAUUGCAUGAUGCCAUCUGUUAAAGUAGAUUUGGAAAAGGUAUUAUCCCUACCACUUGCAUUGUCUCUUUGGUUGAGUGCUCUUUCAGGUUUUUGCUUCUGCAUCGUUCACUUCAUGCUGACCAGGUUCGAGGUGACAUACCUUGGGACCCUGGUGGACUCAGAGCAUGGGGAUGAGGAGAAGCAAGGGGCACACAUGAAGAGAGAAGCUGGAGGAGGCAUGAGGAUAUAG
rnacentral:rRNA from 1 species